rnacentral:rRNA from 1 species
AUACGGAGGAUGCAAGCGUUAUCCGGAUUUAUUGGGUUUAAAGGGUGCGUAGGCGGUUUGCUAAGCGGGAGGUGAAAUGCCGGCGCUCAACGUCGGAAGUGCCUCCCGAACUGGUGGACUGGAAUGACUCUGCCGUGGGAGGAAUGUGUAGUGUAGCGGUGAAAUGCUUAGAGAUUACACAGAACACCGAUUGCGAAGGCAUCUCACGAAGGGUUGAUUGACGCUGAGGCACGAAAGUGUGGGGAUCAAACAGGAUUAGAUACCCUGGUAGUCCACGCAGUAAACGAUGAUUACUAGCUGUUUGCGAUACAAUGUAAGCGGCUGAGCGAAAGCGUUAAGUAAUCCACCUGGGGAGUACGUUCGCAAGAAUGAAACUCAAAGGAAUUGGCGGGG